CCUUGGGAGGUAUGCGGGGGCUUCGAGCCCCCCAUUUACGCACGC
rnacentral:rRNA from 1 species